rnacentral:rRNA from 1 species
UAGGGAAUCUUCGGCAAUGGACGAAAGUCUGACCGAGCAACGCCGCGUGAGUGAAGAAGGUUUUCGGAUCGUAAAACUCUGUUGUUAGAGAAGAACAAGGACGUUAGUAACUGAACGUCCCCUGACGGUAUCUAACCAGAAAGCCACGGCUAACUACGUGCCAGCAGCCGCGGUAAUACGUAGGUGGCAAGCGUUGUCCGGAUUUAUUGGGCGUAAAGCGAGCGCAGGCGGUUUCUUAAGUCUGAUGUGAAAGCCCCCGGCUCAACCGGGGAGGGUCAUUGGAAACUGGGAGACUUGAGUGCAGAAGAGGAGGGUGGAAUUCCAGGUGUAGCGGUGAAAUGCGUAGAUAUAUGGAGGAACACCAGUGGCGAAGGCGGCUCUCUGGUCUGUAACUGACGCUGAGGCUCGAAGGCGUGGGGAGCAAACAGG